rfam:Trichinella spiralis unplaced genomic scaffold Scfld2, whole genome shotgun sequence.
AAACUUACUUGGCGGGGGAUUGUCUGUGAUCAAGAAGGCAGGAAUCCCAGAGGGAGGCGUAUUCAUUGCACUACGAAUGGCGCUGAACUCUGUGCUGCCCCGAAUAGGGGCAGGCAACCGCGUAAUUUUUUAGUGUGGGAUUGCGUUCGCGCUAUCCCGAC